GCUACACAUGCAGUCGACGAUGAAGCCGGAGCUUGCUCUGGUGGAUUAGUGGCGAACGGGUGAGUAACACGUGAGUAACCUGCCCUUGACUCUGGAAUAAGCGUUGGAAACGACGUCUAAUACCGGAUACGAGCUUCCGCCGCAUGGUGAGGAGCUGGAAAGAAUUUCGGUCAAGGAUGGACUCGCGGCCUAUCAGGUAGUUGGUGAGGUAAUGGCUCACCAAGCCUACGACGGGUAGCCGGCCUGAGAGGGUGACCGGCCACACUGGAACUGAGACACGGUCCAGACUCCUACGGGAGGCAGCAGUGGGGAAUAUUGCACAAUGGGCGCAAGCCUGAUGCAGCAACGCCGCGUGAGGGACGACGGCCUUCGGGUUGUAAACCUCUUUUAGUAGGGAAGAAGCGAAAGUGACGGUACCUGCAGAAAAAGCACCGGCUAACUACGUGCCAGCAGCCGCGGUAAUACGUAGGGUGCAAGCGUUAUCCGGAAUUAUUGGCGUAAAGAGCUCGUAGGCGGUUUGUCGCGUCUGCUGUGA
rnacentral:rRNA from 1 species